rnacentral:lncRNA from 1 species
GGUUGGGGGGUGUCGGCCCGGUGUUGACUGUUGUGUUGGAGCCAUUUUUCGGAGUUUUCGUAGGAAUAGGAGUUUUAAUAAUAUUAUAUUCCCUUUGUUUUUUUCUGCAAUCAUUCGAAUUGGUAUACUUCAUGUGAUUUUGUUUUUAUUGUCUAUAAAAUAAAAUGAUUGGGUGGAUUCUUGUGUGAGACAUAAAAAACUUUCCUGCUGAAAAAUGAUUGUUGAUAGGUUUCUCCUAAAGUUGAGGUGGUUUCAGGUCGACACAAAAUUAAAAAUUUGUUAUCGUAGGUCUUUUUGGUUCCUAUGUUCUGGUCGAGUCGUAAAAUAUUAAAAUGUAUUGUGGCGGGUUUUCUAGCAUAGGUAUCUUGUGGCUCAGUCCUUGUUAAAAAGAUUGCUCUUUAAAAAAAAAAUAUUAGCAGUUGCUGUUAGUGCAUGUAUUCUUUUGAUUUGGUAACAAUUCUUAAAAAUAUGAGUAAUAAAAGACUAUGUCGGCAAACUAAAUUUGUUUGUACCUAAAAUGGCGGUAAAGACAAUACACAAUACACAGAAGAUUUUUCUUUACCUGGUUGUUCUGUUGUUUGUAAAAAGCUGCUUUCGGUUUCUCUGUCUGCAGGUUCUGGUAGAUAUUGAUAAAUUUCACUAGUGACGUCCUAUUGUAGAAUUUUUGGGAGAGAGUUGCUCUGUUUCUUAGGAUGGUUUGUGUAAGCAUGGACACUUGUCUUCAUGUUAAAAACUAUUUGAGUUGUGACUAGCUAGGAUUUGAUCCAUAUCUAAAAUAGGAACCCUGUCAGAUAAAAUCCUUGCUUAUUUAUCUAUUUAUCUAUACAUAUAAAAAUGAAUUGUUGUUCGUUAGUCUGUCUAUAUAUAUGAAAAUGAAUUGUUGUUCAUUAGUCUGUCUAUAUAUAUAAAAAUGAAUUGUUGUUCGUUAGUCUGAUUAAAACUCUAGAAUGGCUGGGCUGAUUGAGCUGAUUUUGGUUUUAAAAUGUUGUCGUAGUCGAGGGUAGGUCUAAACGGUGAGCAAAUAAGGAAAAAUUGUGAAAAUUUAAAAAGUUAAGUGUCGUGUGUUUGUGACUUACUAAAUAUGCCUCCAAUAAUAAGGCAGUAUGAAGUUCGCCUGGUCAGCUAGUCUCUUUAUAUAAUAUUAUUUAUUAUUUACAUGUUAUAUGUAUGUAUGAGCUAUACAUUGUAUGAGCUGUAUUAGAGUGGUAAAAUAAAGUAAGUAUUUCUGGUUUUAAUUUAUUUGGAGUCAUAGACUAUCAGAAUAUUAGGUGAGUAGAAACCUAUAAACUUGGUCGGUAACAAAACAUUACUUUCAUGCCUAUCCUAGAUAUAUCCAAUGAUAAUAACAUGAGUGAUAUUAUUAUAUUAUGUAAAAUAUAAACAAAAUAUAUGUUUCUCUUAAAAGUGGUUGAUUGCCUGUUGUUGUUAAUGUUGUUGUCGUUAGGUAUGUUCUCCAUAAUAAGACCUUGCUCGUCUUAAGUGGCAUGUGCUACAAUUAGUUACUAUUUCUUGACUGUCUGUGUCUUGGGAAUGGUAUAUUAUUUCAAAUCAAAUCAAAACAUUUAUUCACGUUCGUGACACUCAAACAAAAACGAAUAUACAUAUAAAACCACACCAAAAACAAAACAAGAAUAAAAUAGAACAACAGAAGAAUAUGGUGAAAGGACCUGGUCAUCAUGAGGAAUGGCAUGGAGUUCAUAACAGAAAAACUGGCAUACUAAUGGAGGGAGCAAGGAAAAUAAGAUGCUCUAAAACAAAGUGAAUAGAUUAUUUUGAUAUCAACAUAUCAGGCGUCAUUUCAUUUGAACAAAACACAAGAAUCACAAGGUUACAGUUAUCUUGUGACUGUGUUGUCUUAAGAUUUUGUUUAGGUGACAGGUAAAAGUAUAUCUUAGGAGUGAAAAGCUAAAUAGGUAAGGACUAAUUAAUUAGCCAGAUCUUAUCAAGUGAAUUAGAAAAAUUUUAGUCAUGGAAUUAUAUAUUGUGGAAUCUUUGAUCAUGUUGCAUUUGUUUGACUAUUUUUGAGUUGCUCAUACCUUUUUUCAGUGUUGUCAAUAUUUUCUUAUAUAGGAAAUUUUUGGUUGAGGUUUCUUUCCUACUCUGUUUGCAUCUGCUUUUCAAGUCUGUGUCCUGCUGUUUUAUGUAAUUUCUAAGGACACCUAUCUUGGAUACCACACUAUUAUGUGUGUUCCAAACAAAAGUGGCCUCAAAUACAAAACUCAUAUAAAUUAUAUUUACUUAUUUA